GAUGAACGCUGGCGGCGUGCCUAAUACAUGCAAGCCGAGCGAACAGACGAGGAGCUUGCUCUUCUGAUGUUAGCGGCGGACGGGUGAGUAACACGUGGAUAACCUACCUAUAAGACUGGGAUAACUUCGGGAAACCGGAGCUAAUACCGGAUAAUAUAUUGAACCGCAUGGUUCAAUAGUGAAAGACGGUUUUGCUGUCACUUAUAGAUGGAUCCGCGCCGCAUUAGCUAGUUGGUAAGGUAACGGCUUACCAAGGCAACGAUGCAUAGCCGACCUGAGAGGGUGAUCGGCCACACUGGAACUGAGACACGGUCCAGACUCCUACGGGAGGCAGCAGUAGGGAAUCUUCCGCAAUGGGCGAAAGCCUGACGGAGCAACGCCGCGUGAGUGAUGAAGGUCUUCGGAUCGUAAAACUCUGUUAUUAGGGAAGAACAAAUGUGUAAGUAACUAUGCACGUCUUGACGGUACCUAAUCAGAAAGCCACGGCUAACUACGUG
rnacentral:rRNA from 1 species